UUGCAUUCAGUUUUUUUUCCUGAAAGGAUAAAACCGAUCACAUGAACGGUUGUAACCGUUCUUAAAGAUAAAUAUGAACGGUUUCAACUGCUCAUUUAUGCCAUUAUAUAUGGUUGUCGGAUCAGAAACAAGCAUAUAAUUUUCCAUCGAAUCCUUCACACUUCACAGAGAAACACCACAACCAAUUCGCCAAGAAUCUGAGUUCGAGUGCAAGAACUUGGAUUAGAUAGUUGUAUCCUGCAAGAUAGAUGUCCAUUGAACUGCUGCACUGGUGUAGGGACGAAUUUCUGUCUUAGGAGAUUGCUUCUGCAAACCUCUAUCUUCAAGGAACAAGUCAGUGAUUUGUGAUUUUAUAUAUAAUUUCAUUAAGUGUUUAUGUUUUAAUAUAUUGUAUUUGUCGUUGAGUUUUUCCAUUUGAAAUAAAACUGUGCAAAUUGUUUUAUAUUAUACACUUGACAUUUGAUUGGUUGUAACAGUUAGUAGGACUGAUUUCUUCCACAGUCAUACUUGUUGCUUCUCGGUCUUUUGGCCUUUCUGGAGUCCGGACUGUGCUGAUUCUCUUCAUGGCAUUGCGCACAAUGGCUGGGAUUUGGAGGUUGGGCACAAGAGCCGGACCAUGGAAAAUGGUCUGGGAUGAGAGGAAGCAAGAAAGUUAGUGUGACGAAUGUUCAACUCCUGGUAAAGGAGAAGAAAAGUAUGUUGUGAUGCAGAUGCUGAUUGGCGUUCCAAACCGAAGAUUUCUAUCCGUCCAUACAUCACCAGGUUCUUGCAAUAUAGGGGAUCUUUCUGCAUUCCGAUGUCAUUCCAAGGAUUAUCGCAGUAUCUUGGACUGCAUUACACAUGUAAAUAAUCUAAGCAAGAAUAACUGGGUAUGACACUAUUGCGAUUAUGGCCAUUUAAUUUCCUAGUUUCUGCUAACAUCCCUGCAAUUCUUGAUC